UACGAAGGGGGCUAGCGUUGCUCGGAAUCACUGGGCGUAAAGCGCACGUAGGCGGCUUUUUAAGUCAGGGGUGAAAUCCUGGAGCUCAACUCCAGAACUGCCUUUGAUACUGAGAAGCUUGAGUCCGGGAGAGGUGAGUGGAACUGCGAGUGUAGAGGUGAAAUUCGUAGAUAUUCGCAAGAACACCAGUGGCGAAGGCGGCUCACUGGCCCGAUACUGACGCUGAGACGCGAAAGCGUGGGGAGCGAACAGG
rnacentral:rRNA from 1 species